CCUGAUGCAGCAACGCCGCGUGAACGAUGAAGGUCUUCGGAUCGUAAAGUUCUGUUGCAGGGGAAGAUAAUGACGGUACCCUGUGAGGAAGCCCCGGCUAACUACGUGCCAGCAGCCGCGGUAAUACGUAGGGGGCUAGCGUUAUCCGGAUUUACUGGGCGUAAAGGGUGUGUAGGUGGUCCUUCAAGUCGGUGGUUAAAGGCUACGGCUCAACCGUAGUAAGCCGCCGAAACUGGAGGACUUGAGUGCAGGAGAGGAAAGUGGAAUUCCCAGUGUAGCGGUGAAAUGCGUAGAUAUUGGGAGGAACACCAGUAGCGAAGGCGGCUUUCUGGACUGCAACUGACACUGAGGCACGAAAGCGUGGGUAGCAAACAGGAUUAGAUACCCUGGUAGUCCACGCUGCAAACGAUGAGUACUAGGUGUCGGGGGUUACCCCCCUCGGUGCCGCAGCUAACGCAUUAAGUACUCCGCCUGGGGAGUACGCACGCAAGUGUGAAACUCAAAGGAAUUGACGGGGACCCGCACAAGUAGCGGAGCAUGUGGUUUAAUUCGAAGCAAGCGAAGAACCUACCUAAGCUGACAUCCUCGGACGGUGUUAAUCACACCCUCCUCGGACUGAGGUGACGGUGGGCAUGGUGUCGUCAGCUCGUGU
rnacentral:rRNA from 1 species